rnacentral:lncRNA from 1 species
GGGUAGGUAACUCAAUGCAGUAAUUAAUUUUUGGAAGGAAAAAAAAAAGCCUAAUCCAUUACUGUCUUUUUGACUGUAUAGCUUAGAUUCUCUACACCUAUUCCUUUCCAGUUGGCUUUAUUUACCUUUAGCUAUCUUGAUACUUUCUUGGCCAAAUAUCCUGGACUCAGUGAUCAUUGUGACACAAUGUGGUGUAAGACAAAGUGGCUUCUUGCUAUGUAACUGCUAGCAUUCACACUAGGUAACCUCCCUUAGCCUCCUACCACUGAGGUGGUGGGUUUAGAUGGUGUCGUAGUGCCUUUGAUUAACUUAAGUAUUUAGCUUUCAUCUUCCUUAGAUCUCUUUGUCCUCCCAAUUGAACACAUUUCUGCUAAACAAUUUGGUCUUAUCUUGUGUAGAAAAAAGUUAAUAAAAUGUCUGUCAUGUGUGAAAAAAAAGAUUCUGUAAAGUUUGUUUGCUUGUUUUGUCAUUGUUAGAAUAAUACCCAAGAAAAACAAAGAUUUAUUUUGACUUCAGUGUUUUGGGCUCCAUUCUUGGAUGGAGAUAAAACCUUGUGGGAGAGCAUGAUAGUUCCAGUACAGCUGCUAAGUUGGGGACAGCAGGAACCCUUCAAAGACUGGCCUGAGUGGCCCAUUCCUCAGUUCAAGCCCUUCCUCUAAGAGUCCUCAAGAUUCAUUCACCUUUAGAAUGGAUUAUGUGGCAACUGAGCCUUCAGGGGGGACAUUUUAAAUUCAAAUCCUGGCAGUAUUCUAAAGCCAAGUGGGCAGUAAAGUUCCUAGCAAUUUUUAUUCAGAAGCCAUUGCAGUCGGGGGAAAAAGCAAAUGUAGAGUCAGGCUUUUUUUCCAAAUAAAUCAAGGACAAGGAAAGUUAGAGGUCAGGAGUAGGAUCAGAGUCACUGGAUGAAAACAUCAUCCAUGUAGAGGGAAUUUGUGCUUAAAUCUACUGACAAUCAUGGAGGCAAACCAGGGUUUAUGAGAUUUUUCAAGAUGUGAGAACCUCAAAACUCUGUAAGCAAGAUUCUUGUUAAAGCUGAGCUAGGCAGAGACAAACACAGGGCUGAAGGUUGAAACCUAAUAGAGUAGAUGAUUCUAAGAUUAAGUUUGGUUUUUAUCAUUCAUAGUAUUAGCUUUUCUAUAACUUGACUCAUCUGGGUCUUACUCUUCAGUUUACUAAGAGAUGUGGUGAAGCGUCCAGCUACAGUUAUGUCCUUGUUUGUCCUCUAAGUUGUACAUUUACAAAUACUCCUGAUUGUGUGUUUAUGCACACACUCCUGUGUUAGGUGUCCUUUAUUGCUCUCUAUUUUUUUGUAGCAGGGUUCUUCCCUGACUCUAGGCCUCCUGUUGGUUCAGGUAGGUGCAGGUCAACAAAACUAAACUGUCAUCUUGUCUCCAUCCAAGAGACAAGAAGGCUUGGAUUACAGGCAUGCACCUGGAUGCUCCACUUUACGUGGAUGCUGGAAUCCAAACUCUGGAUUCACGAUUGUUUGGCAGGUGCCCUUUCCAGCUUCUUUUCACCAGAAGUGUUUGAUGUUUAUAAGUUACAGCUUUUCAUAUUAGGAUCGUUUAUGUCUGGGGAGUGGGUUUGAUGCUUUUAUAUACUUUUUUAGAUUUAGAUUUUAUUUUUCAUUUUACUUUAUCUUGUUUACAUCCUUUUUUCCUACUCUGUCAAUUAUUUUGAGUCAUAUCAUUUAAAAAUGGCAAUUUGUGGACUGUUUUCAUGUUUGUGUGUUUUGUUAUUGCUUAGGUAUUAGUUGUUGGUGAAGCACAAGCAUCUAUAUACUCAUCAUAUAACUGAAAACAAUUUUGCCUUGUUUUACUUUCUUAGGUAGAAUUUGGAUUGUAAUUUCUUACAGAUAUCAAAUCAGAGUGUUAGAAUGGUGUUUUUCAUUGUCUCACUUGUGCAUACAAUCUAAAAUAAAUUUAAAUUUCUUUUU